rnacentral:tRNA from 1 species
CAGGGAGACAACAAAAUGUUUAAUAUUAUUAUUUUGUCACCUUAGGUCGAUCGGUAUCUCACGUUCUUAAUUUGUUAAGAAUUUCAUUUCCUGAGUUUUUCUAGGUCACACCCAUUAUUUUUCCUGGGCCAUUAGCUCAGGUGGUUAGAGCGCACCCCUGAUAAGGGUGAGGUCCCUGGUUCAAGUCCAGGAUGGCCCAUAUCUCUAUGUUGGGGGUAUAGCUCAGUUGGUAGAGCGCCUGCUUUGCAAGCAGGAUGUCAGCGGUUCGAGUCCGCUUACCUCCACUGAUUACCACCUCUUCCAUAACUGGUAGAAAGGAAAUGUUUUGAGUUGUGAUUAUUAUUCUGAACGAAUCUAGCUUCCUAAUGAAAUCAUUAAGAUGCUGGACUCAUUGAAUUAAUUUCAUUGUUUUCAGAGAACCUUGACAACUGCAUAGAAUUUUUUAAAGACAAUAAGCAUCUUUAAUGAUGCAGAUUUAUUAUUUGUGCGAAUGCAUUAAUAACAAUUCUAUUAAGCUGAUGCUUCAAUUUUUGAAGUUAUU